GUAGUCAUAUGCUUGUCUCAAAGAUUAAGCCAUGCAUGUCUAAGUAUAAACAACUUUGUACUGUGAAACUGCGAAUGGCUCAUUAAAUCAGUUAUAGUUUAUUUGAUGGUAUCUUACUACAUGGAUAACUGUGGUAAUUCUAGAGCUAAUACAUGCAAUCAAGCCCCGACUUCCGGAAGGGGUGUAUUUAUUAGAUAAAAAACCAACGCGGCUCGCCGCUCCCUUGGUGAUUCAUAAUAACUUCUCGAAUCGCAUGGCCUUGUGCCGGCGAUGCUUCAUUCAAAUAUCUGCCCUAUCAACUUUCGAUGGUAGGAUA
rnacentral:rRNA from 1 species